GUGAAGCCUUGCUUCUUGAAAAACGCUAUCACGGAGUCUGCUCGAUCUGGGGUUUGGAUGCUUAGGCAUUUCGAAGCUGAAAUCGCCUUGUCUGGAGGGAAUCCGCAUGAGUCUAUGAGGUAAGAAACUGUGAAUGAGUUAUCUGAUGCUGCUUGUGACGAAUAUGAUGUGCGAGGAAAUAAUCUAUGAACCGAUGUUGUUUUGAACACAGAAAAUGUCAAGUUUCUGCCGACAAGAUUAAACAUUGCAAGUAGAAAUCGUUAUGAUGGAGAGAGAUCAUUGACCUGUGGAUUGAGGAUUGAUGCGAUUUACGCUUCUGGAUUUUGCGCUCUAUCUACGAUCGGGUUUCACUUGAAAAAAACCCUAAAACAAAACGUUCCGCUUUCAGUCUCACUUGCUAAAAAUGGGUUUUCAACAUCGCUUGCCAGGGAAAUUCUUUUCUACUUCACUUGGUAAAACAUCUCCGUGAAUUCUGCAAAUAGUGUUUUUUUUUAAUCAUUACACCAAUUUUCAAAUCUAAAGAUAUAUUAAGUAAUUUUUUUGGAUUAAUAUCACUAAAUCUCAUGUUUUUUUUGCACUAAAUUGAAAAAAAUCCAUGAAUUUAAUUUGUUGUUUACUGUGGACAUGAUUUUUUCAUAAAAUUAUGGCAAAAGGGCAAAGUGCCGGUCUCAGCAGGUGACAAAAGCAAAGACGAACGUUGAAGGUCGGUUGUUAGCUAGGUUUUGUUUCAUUCUUCUCUCCAACGUCAAUCCAGCAAGAUGGUAAGCUCCUCUAACAUGCACACACAAUGGUACAAAGAAUGAGCUUUAAGGUAUUGUUGGUAUGAACCUGCGACAUUCUCGAUUUUUAAAAUUGUCGAUAAUACAUGGAGGAAAUUCAAGGGGUGUCUAAACUAUCAGGUAAUAUCAAGUUUCCUACUUCUUUUUGUGGUCUUGUUGAACCGGUGUGAAGAAAUGGUUGUUGAGCAGGACUCCAAAAAAAUGCGAUUUUUUUAUGACUUGAUCCACUGCCAAACACUUACUACAAGGAAACUAUGUGGAAGUUCCAUAUGGAUUUGGAGGAGGUUAAGAACAAUAAAACAUUUGGAAUGGAGAUUUUGAAACUUUCGGAGGAGGCCAAGAACAACAAAGCAAAUCAAGUGAAUAUUUUAAACAUGUUGAAGGUGGUGCUACUUAUGAUGAUCAUGCUUUUGGUGGUGGUGAUUGUGAUAGAGUUUAUGGUUCACAAUAUUGUGGUUAAAGCACUGUGAAGUUGUGGGCAUUAGUUAGUUUCAAGUGGAAUGGUAGUAUUAGUUUAGGUGUAAGGGUAUUUUGGUCAAGUUAGACAGUAAGUUGAUGCAUGUGUUAUGUAUGGUAAUAUUUUGGUGUAGUAAGAUAUGACAAUGAUAACAAGUUAUUAUGUCUUAAUGAUAACAGUGUAUUAUGUCUUAGUAAUGGCAAUACCUUUAACAUAUACAUAUGAAUAAAAAUGACAAAAUCUUGAAAAUUUAAUAGCAACCUACUUAACAAACUAACCAAAACAUGGAAGGUAACAACAAUUAUAGUGAUCAAGGCAUAUAUAUUGACAACUCAACAAUCAUACCAUGUAGUUUACAAAGCUUCCCAAAUGUCAAUAUCAGUUAACAACCCAAAACGGGGAAUGUACUUUACAAAGCUUCCCACCAACCAUUACCAUACCAUGUAACCUAAUUAGAACCAAAUUUCCAAUUCUACCAAACAUUAUGGACAAGAAUUUAAGCUUGUUACCAAAAGACAAGUGUACCAAAAGUAGAUGUUUACAAAAAGGGCAACCUAUUUAUUAAUGCCUAUUUUACCCAUUCAACCCUUAAACACAACUUCUUAAUCUAAAACCCAAGGGGUUUUGGUAGAACCACCACGAUCAGCAUCUUGCACCAUUUUCCUAAGCUUCAGCUUCCUAAUUCUUUUAGAGGUGGUCCUUUUUUUCUCCUAAUGGAUAUUGUAAGAACCAGGACCCAAGGGUAUCACUCUUGCUCCAACCUCUCUCUCUCUCUUCAACUUCUUCUUCCCCAGCCUCUCUUUCUUCAAUUUCUCCUUCCUCAGCUUCUCCUUCUUCAACUUCUCCUUCUUCAACUUCUCCUUCCUCAACUUCUCUUUCUUCAAUCUCUCUUUCCUCAAACUCUCUUUCUUCAAUCUCUUUUUCCUCAAACUCUCUUUCUUCAAUCUCUCUUUCUUUAACUUCUCCAUAAACCUACAUAACAGUCUCCUAAUCGGGGCUCAUCUCUUUCCAUUCAACAUUGGGAUCGUGCAACCUAUACUCGACACCAAUAUCUUCAUCAUCCUCAUUUAAGUGGGCAUGCUCAUUUUGUUGGCCACUAGGAAUGUCUCCAUCAUCUACCAUUCCAUAAAUACUCCUCAUUAAUAUGUUUUCGUCACACAAUAAGUUAAGAAAAGGAUCAUCACAUAGUUUUGAGGGGGCUUUGAAAGUUUCUUCAGAAAAGUCCAAGAAGUUAAACUCAAAUGAUUCAUCAUCGGAGUCGGUGUCUGGAAGGUAUGUCUUCUUAGGGAGUUUAGGCCUUUUAGGCUUUUUAGUUCCAGAAGUAGAAGCCUUUGUUUCAUAAAAACAACUUGUUAGUUCAAACUUGGAACUCCAUACUCCAUAGACGAAGAUAACCACUCUUAGAAGCAUCAAUUUCCUGUUUCCAUACAACCUUUCUACUCCAUCUUACUUCACCUUCAGAGCUUCAAAAUGUGAAAUUGGAGACUAUGAAACCCUUCUCAGCGUCAAACCCUUCUCAAAUGCAUGAAACCCUUUAUUAGUGAUGAUUCGUGCAAGGUGAUCGCUAGGGAAUAGGUUAGUGGCAGUGGCGGAGCCAAGAAUUUUUAUAUGGGGUACAAAUAUUGUCAAUAUAUAUUCUAUGUAGUUAUCCUACACGGGAAUUAAAAAACAUGAUACAAUCUUUUUAGUUGGGGAUACAAUAACAUAGAGUAUGUUUAUAUAUAAUUUUUUUAUGUAUAAAACAAUUUUUUUAGGGAUGUAGUAGUACCCCCAACGCCCCAUGUAGCUCCGCCACUGGUUAGUAGUGACCGAAUAGAACAAGUUACUUGCUUGUCACCGGGUAUUAACUCUCAAGUGAUAAUUCCAUGAAAAUAUCAUGUCUACAGUCAACGAAAAAUUAAAAUUGGUGCUUUUUCCAAUUUAGUGGCAAAAUUAUAGGACUUUUAUGAUAUUAGUCGUUUUUUAGCUUAUCUCAAUAUACAAAAACAACUUAUGUAAUUUGAUACUUUUCUUGCCUUUGUUUAUAUCUUUACUAGGUUAAAACUCAUGGAAACCAUGGACAACAAAGAAAAACACUAUUUUUAAUUUAAACCGGUCAUGAAAAAUCAAAUAUUUAUAAACCAACCCAACUAUAAUGAUUUAAAACAUGAAAAUUAAUAUAGUUACAACUGGAGCCUAAUUUUAAAUUACUUCUAUGAAUAUGCAAAAUAUCAAAUAAUGGCUUGAAAAGUGUUUGAACAUACAACCGAUAUCCAUGCUCUUCAUCCUGGACUUGAGGAGCCAGGGCCCCCACUGUAACAGCCCGGAAUCUCAGGUAUUAUUAAAAUUAUGUUUUUGGGGUGAUUUAAGAGGGGACUUGGCGAGUUGGUGCCUAGACUCGCCGAGUAGGAUCGCGGACUUGGUCGCGGGUCCGCGACUGGACUCGACGAGUCCAGAUAUGGACUCGGCGAGUCGACGCUGUUCAGCAGAAACCCUAACCGUUCAGUUUGGAUCGUAUUUAACGCCUCUUAGGCCGUCAUUUUCAGUCUUUUGGUCAAUUGAGAGGAACCCUAAUCGCUGUGGACGCCUAGAGCAAGGGAGAAAGCUUUGGAACUUGGAAGAAUUGGUUAGGCAAGAAGAAGAGGGAUUUGGCUAAAGGAAUAUCAAGGAGGAUUGAGUCCUGAGAUUUGGGGGACACAGAGAGUGCGUUUUCAGGUAAUACUCGGACCAAAUCUGUUAUUUUGAUGUAUUUAUGAAAUUAGGGUUUAUAGAACCCAUUUAGUGAUUUGAUGAAGAAAUGCCUUGUUACCCCACGAUUAUAGUCUUGUAUUAGGACCUUUAGAGGUCCAGAAGGUCCCAUGCAUGUGUACUUCGGGACGAGACCUAUCCCAGGAAGCAGUUACUCGUCUGCAUGGCAUGGACUCGCCGAGUUGUUCUUCAGACUCGGCGAGUAGCUUGAAGAUGUGCUGGGACUCGCCGAGUUGUUCAUCAGACUCGGCGAGUGGAGUCGGGGUGGCCCCGCGAUUCUUCCACGAGGACCUCGUCGAGUCAAGAGGUAUACUCGACGAGUAGAAAGGGAAUAUUCAGGAAUCUGUGAGGACGACUAGACUCGCCGAGUCGCCAUGGUACUCGCCGAGUCCAGUCGAGUUGACCGUUGACCGUUGACCAGAGUUGACCUAAGUCUGACUUCUUAGGGAUAGUCACACUUAGAUGAUAUGAGUGUUAAUGAGUUAUGUAAUGUUAUAGGAGGGUUGUAGCUCGUUGGUUUGUGCGCGAGUGAUUUCAGGAGUUGCUAGCUUUCAGCACUUACGAGGUGAGUCUUCUCACUAUACUGUACCCGGAAGGGUUUGACUGUGUGACCGGAAGGUCAAGUAUGUUAUGUAUUAUGUUUAUAUGCUAUAAGUGGUAAGUUAAGUGUUAUAUGGAUAUGUAUGCUAUAAGUGGUAAGUUAAGUGUUAUAUGGAUAUGUAUGCUAUAUGUGGUAAGUUAAGUGUUAUAUGUGCUAUGUAUGAUAUGUGGGCCGGAAGGCAAUAUGUUAUGGGCCGGAAGGCGAUUAUGUUAUGGGCCGGAAGGCGUUGUAAUGAGGACCGGAAGGUCAGGGCCUGGAAAGGCGUAUGUGCGUAAGUGUAUAUUGGGGAACUCACUAAGCAUUUAUGCUUACAGUUGUUGUGCAUGUAUUUCAGGUACUAGUGAGGACCGUGGGAAGGCGCCGGCAUGAUCGAUACACACUGAAGAUUGUUUUAUGAUCUUGGGAGUUUGAAUAAUUGUAUUGACCGAAUAAUUGAACUGUUUAUGCCUUGUUUUUAAUGGAAAUAAUUAUGUUUUAAAAAUGAAAAAUUUGUUUGAAAAAUUUGAGUUGUUACAAUUGGUAUCAGAGCCUUGGUUUGAGGGAUUCGGGUGCACCUUCGGGGGUAACUGAACUCAAACCGAGGAUUUGAGAAAACUUUUCAAAUAAAGGCAUAAACUUUUGUAAAUGGUUUUGUGGUAAGCAAGAAAGAAGCAGUGUGUACGAUCAGUCAGCGCCCGAACGGUAAAGAUCCCCAAAAUACCUUACAAUAUUAUAUGAUAUGAAUUGUUAUGCAUGCUAGAAGACUAGGUAUUCAUGAUAGGACUAGAGUGGCCUGAUUUGUGAUGCCUUAGUCUAGGGAAGUUGCUUAUAUGAGAUGCUUUGCUAGUAUGCGGGUAGAUAGAGCGUAUCAGAAGUAGAGUACUCACUAUCUGGAGUUUGGGGAGGAGGACUUGGGAUGAACAUUGAUGCGGUGUGGUCGGUAGUAUUGGGCCCGUACUACCGAGGACACCGGGUCAGUGGGAGGCCCAAGUAAGAAUCCCUGGAUAUCUGGGACUGAGUAGGGUUGCGUGUCGAGUACGAUUAUACUCGGUAGAAUCUCUGAUAGUUUUAUGUUGUAUUUCAGAGAUAUCAUGGUUAGACCGCGGCACGGGGCAAGUACGAGCGGUGUGAGUGACGAGGAUAUUCGUCAGAUGAUCCACGAGGAGGUGGCGGCGGCGAUCCGGGCUGAGAUCCCGGAGAUGUUUGGGUCUAUCAAGACCACCCUGAUGGAGACGUUCGACGAGCGGUACGCCGCAUUGACUGAGGCUGCAACCGCUGCAGCUACCGCAGCUGUGGCCGCUGCUAGGCCACAGGGGGGUGAUUCAUUGCUGUUCCGAGAGUUCAGCAACACGAAGCCACCAGAGUUCGAUGGGACGCAGGAUCCGAUUGCUGCGAUGAGGUGGAUCGCAGAUAUAGAGGGGUGCUUCUAUACUUGUUCAUGCCCGGAGCACCUGAGGGUACGGUUCGCUUUGAACCAGCUCCGUCUGGGAGCGAAGGACUGGUGGAAGUUCGUGACAGCGAAUUUCACUUUGGCAGAGACUACAGCGGUGACAUGGGAGGGGUUUACUGCCAUGUUCAGGGAUGAGUACGUUCCCCCGGUGGAGAGGGAACGAUUGGUGCAGGAGUUCUUAACCCUCAAGCAGGGUACCGAUUCUGUUGCGGUGAUUACACGGAAGUUUCAUGAGAGGGCGAUGUUUUGCCCUGAGCUGGUGUCCUCAGAGCAGGCUCGGAUGAGCCGAUACUUGGGUGUCUUGAGGAGGGAUAUUCGGGAGUUUGUGUCAAACUCCACUUACCAUACUUUUGCUGAGCUUCAGGCGAAUGCCAGGAAGCGCGAGAUCGAGUUGGAGACCCAGGCUAGGGAGGAGGCCGAGUCUCAGCGGGUGGAUCGGCGACCGGCUCAGUUCCAGCCGGCAGCCAAGCGGACCAAGUCCGCUGAUUCGAGGACAGGAGGUUCGAAGGGUCGCACUUGCGGGAAGUGCGGCAAGAGUCAUGAUGGAGUAUGUCGAUCUGGUGCUUGCUACAAGUGUGGCAAGGAGGGGCACAUUGCUAGGGAGUGCCCCAAGGGAUUUUCGGUUUGCUUUCAUUGCAACCAGACUGGCCAUAGGAAGGCCGAGUGCCCUCAGCUUCUUCAGGGAUCUGCACCUGCUGCCGGAGUUACUGCGACUCGACCGGUGAAGGCCGAGGCCCCGAGGGCUCGGGGAAGAGCCUUUCAGCUGACAGCGGAAGAGGUCCGCGCUGCGCCCGAUGUUGUGGCAGGUAUGUUGUAAUUCAUGUAAUUAUUUUAAUGUCGAUAUGUUAUGCUUAUGUUGUUAUGCGCGUAGGUACUUUCCUUGUGAACUCUGUGCCUGCCUUAGUGUUAUUUGACUCGGGUGCGAGUAGGUCCUUUGUGUCCUUGGCCUUUAGUCAGCAUAUUGGCGUUAGUCGUGAGUCGUUGAGUCGACCUUUGAGAGUCUCUAUAGCUGACGAGAAGGUGAUUUGUGCUACGGAGGUUCUUCGGGGAUGUGUACUAGAGAUUUUCGGGGUUGGAUUCCCGAUUGAUCUGAUUCCUAUCGCGAUGGGGGAUGUCUGUGUCAUCGUGGGCAUGGACUGGUUGAGCCGGUUCGGCGCUGUCAUCGACUGUGAGCGUCAGUUGGUGACUAUACGAGACCCAAGUGGGGGAGUUCUUUCGGUAUACGGCGAGGGUACCCGUUCGGGAUCAGCUUUUUGUUCGGCCGCUAGGGCGAGGCAGUGUCUACGUCAGGGCUGUAAGGGUUUCGUGGCGUAUGUGAUGGAUACGCGGGAGGUUUCUGAGAAACCGAAGUCAGUUGAGGAAGUUCCGGUGGUGCGCGAGUUUUCAGAUGUCUUUCCCGAGGAGUUGCCGGGAGUACCGCCUGUGAGGCAAGUAGAGUUUAGUAUCGAUCUGGUUCCGGGGGCAGCGCCUAUUGCUAAAGUGCCCUAUCGUCUUGCACCUCCAGAGAUGCAAGAGUUGUCCUCGCAACUCCAGGAGUUGCUGGGAAAGGGAUUCAUUCGGCCGAGCAGCUCGCCAUGGGGAGCACCUAUUCUGUUCGUCAAGAAGAAGGAUGGUUCACACCGGAUGUGCAUUGAUUACCGGGAGUUGAACAAGCUAACGGUCAAGAACCGUUACCCGUUGCCGAGGAUCGAUGAUUUAUUCGAUCAGUUGCAGGGAGCAUCUUGGUUUUCCAAGAUCGAUCUGAGGUCAGGAUACCAUCAGGUGAGAGUACGGGAUGAGGACGUCCAGAAGACAGCGUUUAGGACGCGAUAUGGGCAUUAUGAGUUUGUGGUGAUGCCUUUUGGACUCACCAAUGCCCCGGCUGUGUUCAUGGAUCUCAUGAACAGGGUAUGCAGGCCGAUGUUGGAUCGGUCAGUGAUUGUAUUUAUCGACGACAUUCUGGUGUAUUCGAGAUCUAGAGAGCAGCAUGAGGAGCAUUUGAGGGAGGUCCUUGAGGUAUUGAGGUCGGAGAAGCUUUAUGCAAAGUUCUCCAAAUGUGACUUCUGGUUGCGGGAGGUCCAGUUUCUAGGACAUGUGGUUAAUCAGAAAGGGAUAUUGGUCGAUCCGGCCAAGGUUGAGGCGGUGAUGAGUUGGGAGGUGCCGAAGUCACCCUCUGAGAUCAGAAGUUUCCUUGGGUUGGCAGGGUAUUAUCGGAGAUUUAUCAAGGAUUUCUCCAAGAUCGCAGUGCCACUCACCAGAUUGACCCGGAAGGGUGUUACGUUCUCAUGGGGGCCCGAGCAGCAGACCUCCUUUGAGACACUUCGCCAGAGAUUGUGCGAAGCCCCGGUAUUAGCUCUCCCAGAAGGGAUGGAAGAUUUCGUGGUAUAUUGCGACGCAUCGAUUUCGGGAUUGGGUGCAGUGUUGAUGCAGAGGGGUCAUGUGAUAGCUUAUGCGUCGAGGCAGCUGAAGCCUCAUGAGGCGAGAUAUCCCACGCAUGAUUUAGAGUUGGGGGCAGUAGUGUUCGCUCUCAAGAUUUGGCGUCACUACUUGUAUGGGGUUCGAUGUACGAUAUACACGGACCAUAAGAGUUUGAAGUAUUUGAUGGAUCAACCCAACCUAAAUAUGCGUCAGAGGAGGUGGUUGGAUGUGGUCAAGGAUUAUGAUUGUGAGAUCCUGUACCACCCAGGCAAGGCUAAUGUGGUAGCCGAUGCAUUGAGCCGCAGGGCGGAGAGCACUCCAUUGCGAGACGUAUGCUUGAGACUGACUGUGAUGACUCCAGUAUUGGACGCUAUUCGUGGGGCCCAGGCAGAGGCUGUGCGACCAGAAAUGCAGAAGAAAGAGCGGGUUGUGGGGUUAAUCUCAGAGUUUGUCAAGGAUAGUCGAGGCCUUAUGACGUUUCAGGGUCGGAUUUGGGUACCGUUCGUGGGCGGUACGCGUAUUACGUUGAUGGAAGAGGCUCAUAGAUCGAAAUUCUCGAUCCAUCCCGGUGCUACAAAGAUGUAUUUGGAUUUAAGGAAGGAAUAUUGGUGGCCCUGUAUGAAGAGGGACGUGGCAUGGUUCGUUGAGAGGUGCUUGACCUGCCGUAGGGUUAAGGCUGAGCACCAGAGACCGCAUGGCAAGUUACAGCCAUUGGAGAUCCCCGAGUGGAAGUGGGAACAGAUCACUAUGGAUUUUAUCACCAAAUUGCCAAGGACUGCUAGGGGAGUUGACGCAAUUUGGGUGAUCGUGGAUAGGUUGACGAAGAGUGCACACUUCCUUGCCAUCAGUGAGAGUUCUUCAGCGGAAAAGUUGGCGGAGAUAUACGUGAAAGAGGUGGUAUCUCGGCACGGGGUGCCGAUCUCGAUUGUGUCAGACCGCGAUGUGCGCUUCACUUCCAGGUUCUGGAAGAAAUUCCAUGAGGAGCUGGGUACUAAAUUGCAUUUUAGUACCGCAUACCAUCCCCAGACAGACGGUCAGAGCGAGCGGACAAUUCAGACGCUGGAGGACAUGCUCCGAGCGUGUGUGUUAGACUUCGGGGGUAGUUGGGAUGCGUAUUUACCAUUGGCAGAGUUUUCCUACAACAACAGCCAUCAUUCGAGCAUUGGUAUGCCACCUUUCGAGCUGUUGUAUGGUAGGAGGUGUCGGACCCCCAUUUGCUGGGGAGAGGUGGGACAGAGAGUGAUGGGCAGCACGGAGAUCGUGCUCCAGACGACAGAGCAGAUUCAGCAAGUGAGACAAAGGUUAUUGACUGCCCAGAGCCGACAGAAGAGUUAUGCAGACAGGCGCCGAUCCGAGCUUGAAUUUCAGGUCGGCGACUUCGUUCUCCUGAAGGUCUCUCCUUGGAAAGGAGUGAUUCGGUUCAGGAAGAGAGGCAAGUUGGGGCCCCGGUAUAUUGGGCCAUUUCGUGUGAUUGCAAGGAUAGGUCGGGUAGCCUACCGGUUGGAGUUGCCAGCGGAGUUGGGUCAGAUCCAUGACACUUUUCAUGUGUCGCAGUUGAGGAAGUGCAUAGCCGAUGAGUCGGCAGUGGUUCCAUUGGAGGAUAUUCAGGUGGAUGCGAGCCUGAAUUACGCGGAGAGACCAGUGGCUAUCAGGGAUCGGAAGAUCAAGGUUCUGAGGAACAAGGAAGUACCUCUGGUGUUGGUUCAAUGGCAACACCGUAAGGGAUCAGAAAUGACUUGGGAACCGGAGCGCGAAAUGCGGGAGCAGCAUCCGGAACUAUUUGCAGAGUGAGACUUCGAGGGCGAAGUCUAAUCCAAGUGGGGGAGAGUUGUAACAGCCCGGAAUCUCAGGUAUUAUUAAAAUUAUGUUUUUGGGGUGAUUUAAGAGGGGACUCGGCGAGUUGGAGCCUAGACUCGCCGAGUAGGAUCGCAGACUUGGUCGCGGGAUCGCGACUGGACUCGACGAGUCCAGGUAUGGACUCGGCGAGUCGACGCUGUUCAGCAGAAACCCUAACCGUUCAGUUUGAAUCGUAUAUAACGCCUCUUAGGCCGUCAUUUUCAGUCUUUUGGUCGAUUGAGAAGAACCCUAAUCGCUGUGGACGUCUAGAGCAGGAGAGAAAGCUUUUGGAACUUGGAAGAAUUGGUUAGGCAAGAAGAAGAGGGAUUUGGCUAAAGGAAUAUCAAGGAGGAUUGAGUCCUGAGAUUUGGGGGACACAGAGAGUGCGUUUUCAGGUAAUACUCGGACCAAAUCUGUUAUUUUGAUGUGUAUGUGAGUUUAGGGUUUAUGAAACCCAUUUAGUGAUUAGAUGGGUUAUUAUGUUAUUACCCAAACGCUUUUACCCCAGUAAUGAGAUGUUUAGACGUCCAGAGGGUCCCAUGGUUGUAUAUCUUGGGACCAUACGUAAUUCAGGAAGCAGUUACUCGUCUGCAUGGCAUGGACUCGCCGAGUUGUUCUUCAGACUCGGCGAGUAGCUUGAAGAUUUACUGGGACUCGCCGAGUUGUUCUUCAGACUCGGCGAGUGGAGUCGGGGUGGCCCCGCGAUUCUUCCAGGAGUAACUCGUCGGGUCGAGGAGGGUACUCGACGAGUAGAUAAGGAAUCUCAGAAAGUUGGAGGACGUCUAGACUCGCCGAGUCGCCAUGGUACUCGCCGAGUCCGGUCGAGUUGACCGUUGACCGUUGACCAGAGUUGACCUAAGUCUGACUUCUUAGGGAUAGUCACACUUAGAAGAGAUAAGUAUUAAUGAGUUACGUAAUGUUAUAGGGAGGUUGUAGCUCGUCGGUUGUGCACGAGUCAUUUCAGGAGUUGCUAGCUUUCAGCAUAUACGAGGUGAGUCUUCUCACUAUACUGUACCCGGAAGGGUUUGACUGUGUGACCGGAAGGUCGGAUAUGUUAUGUGAUAUGUAUGCUAUAUGUGGUAAGUUAAUUGUUAUAUGUGCUAUGUAUGAUAUGUGGGCCGGAAGGCAAUAUGUUAUGGGCCGGAAGGCGAUUAUGUUAUGGGCCGGAAGGCGUUGUAAUGAGGACCGGAAGGUCAGGGCCUGGAAAGGCGUAUGUGCGUAAGUGUAUAUUGGGGAACUCACUAAGCAUUUAUGCUUACAGUUGUUGUGCAUGUAUUUCAGGUACUAGCGAGGACCGUGGGAAGGCGCCGGCAUGAUCGAUACACACUGAAGAUUGUUUUAUGAUCUUGGGAGUUUGAAUAAUUGUAUUGACCGAAUAAUUAAACUGUUUAUGCCUUGUUUUUAAUGGAAAUAAUUAUGUUUUAAAAAUGAAAAAUUUGUUUGAAAAAUUUGAGUUGUUACAAUUGGUAUCAGAGCCUUGGUUUGAGGGAUUCGGGUGCACCUUCGGGGGUAACUGAACUCAAACCGAGGAUUUGAGGAAACUUUUCAAAUAAAGGCAUAAACUUUUGUAAAUGGUUUUGUGGUAAGCAAGAAAGAAGCAGUGUGUACGAUCAGUCAGCGCCCGAACGGUAAAGAUCCCCAAAAUACCUUACAAUAUUAUAUGAUAUGAAUUGUUAUGCAUGCUAGAAGACUAGGUAUUCAUGAUAGGACUAGAGUGGCCUGAUUUGUGAUGCCUUAGUCUAGGGAAGUUGCCUAUAUGAGAUGCUUUGCUAGUAUGCGGGUAGAUAGAGCGUAUCAGAAGUAGAGUACUCACUAUCUGGAGUUUGGGGAGGAGGACUUGGGAUGAACAUUGAUGCGGUGUGGUCGGUAGUAUUGGGCCCGUACUACCGAGGACACCGGGUCAGUGGGAGGCCCAAGUAAGAAUCCCUGGAUAUCUGGGACUGAGUAGGGUUGCGUGUCGAGUACGAUUAUACUCGAUAGAAUCUCUGAUAGUUUUAUGUUGUAUUUCAGAGAUAUCAUGGUUAGACCGCGGCACGGGGCGAGUACGAGCGGUGUGAGUGACGAGGAUAUUCGUCAGAUGAUCCACGAGGAGGUGGCGGCGGCGAUCCGGGCUGAGAUCCCGGAGAUGUUUGGGUCUAUCAAGACCACCCUUAUGGAGACGUUCGACGAGCGGUACGCCGCAUUGACUGAGGCUGCAACCGCUGCAGCUACCGCAGCUGUGGCCGCUGCUAGGCCACAGGGGGGUGAUUCAUUGCUGUUCCGAGAGUUCAGCAACACGAAGCCACCAGAGUUCGACGGGACGCAGGAUCCGAUUGCUGCGAUGAGGUGGAUCGCAGAUAUAGAGGGGUGCUUCUACACUUGUUCAUGCCCGGAGCACCUGAGGGUACGGUUCGCUUUGAACCAGCUCCGUCUGGGAGCCAAGGACUGGUGGAAGUUCGUGACGGCGAACUUCACUUUAGCAGAGACUGCGGCAGUGACAUGUCUGCUCAUGCACACCACAUAAAAAAUAAUUGCAUUAUGAAUGGAACACUAUCAUUGAAUAAUAUGCACCAUGUCUGCUCAUGCACACCACAUAAAAAAUAAUUGAUUCACCCAAUAAGAAACCUUUAUUUGAACAUGUAAUAAGAUGAAACAUGUGGAAUUUCUCCAGUAGGAUCUAAUUGUGUAAUAACACAUGUAAUGUGUAGUAAAACAUGACAUUGUGGAUCUGCACACUGAAUCAUGAACUAUGUUUUCAGUGGACUGCCUCAUGGACAAUGCCCUUUUCUAUCCCUAAUCUCCUAUUUUGGUGUAAUCUACUACUAUCAAAGACACAAUGUCCAUCAAUUAUUGAUUCAAUUACCCCUACAUGCGAAAUUUUUCAGUAACAACAAAAUCAUAUAUCUAAUAAUAGAAACCAAGUUGAAUUUCCACAUAGUCAGUUCCUAAUAACUCCUAAAUCUAGAUACCUCUAAAUCCAAACUUCUCAAUCAAUAACAAAAAAGACCCAUAAAAAUGUAAAAUAUGGAACACAAAGUGUAACACACCGUUUAUUUAUUAGAUAAAUAAAUAAAUUAAUAAGCGAAUUAUAGCUCUAAAAUAAAAAAUUAUAUAUAAAAGGAUGGUUUCGAAGAGCUAAUUGUCAUAAUUUUAGAAGUUGGGGGUUAAAUAUGUAAGUUAGGAUUUAUUUUGUAAGUGUUUAUGAAGCCAGGGACUAAAUGGUAGCUUCUGGGACUUCAUUUGAAGAGAUUUUGGGGCUAAGGGGUUGUUUGGUGCAUAUUGGACCUAAAUUGUAAGGGAUUUCAAUGUUGGAGGUUGAAAUGGUAAAAUAAGGACUAUGUUUGAAAAUGAAUUUUGAGAUGAGGGACCGAAUGUGUCAACAUGGGUUAAAUUUUGAGGAGUCGGGUAUAUAAGCUUUACGUUUCCCUAACCCUAGUUGUGUUUGUCCAGCCGUCAUCUUCUUCACCCUUCGUCCUCAACUCCGGCGCCGCUACCUCCCACCUUGCCUCUCCUGUUUGUGGCCGCAAUCUCACGCCCCAUCACAAGUCAUUGCUUUUUUUCCUGUUGAAGCUGGAAGACCACCGAGAUGCCACCGUUGUGGUUACAGCCGCCGGUGAACCCGAGAACGUCGAAGACCGCCGCCAUGACCGGACACGCCCCCUCCCUCCUUAUGUUUGUGUGGUUCGUCGCCGAUGUCAAGCAAAACCGUUGUGCCUUUCUCUUCUUCUGUUGCUACGAUGGUUAUGGUUUCCGGUGGUGGACUGCCACCACUUUCCCCACCGUAAACACUCUUCCAUUUCCGUUUACAGUUGGACCUGCCAUGUGUCGCCGCCGUCAUAUUUCACCCUCGUCGUCGUUUUACGCCACCAUAAGGGGUGGCUGAGCUCGUUCACGGCUAUAAGUGAUCCAUGGUGUUAUGUUCGAUUGUUUUGUUGGUAUGAGGCUGCUAGAAUGGUUGUUUGGUUGGAGAUCCGAAGGAAGACCCUACUGCUACCACUCGUCGCCGCCGGCCACCACAAGGUGGUUAUGUGUGUAUGUAUGCUAGUUUAGUGUGUGUGUGUGUUAUUUUGUGACAAAAGCCUUGUAAAAUGUAAUAGAAAAUGGAAUAAUGAAAGAAAGGAACCCCAACCACCACCGUGAGGUGGUGGCUGCCGCCUCUUGCUGCCACCGGCCGCCGUGUCGGGUGGCGGUGUGCUUGCAUGGUGAGUUUGAUUCGUUUGGGGUGCUUGAAAUCCUAAUGGGCCUUGUAAGCCCUAAUGGGCCCAACAAAGCCUAAUGGGCUUAGUGAAAACCCUAAUGGGUCUAAUGGACCCUAAUUGACCUAAAAGCCAAACAAAUUGAUAAAUGAGCUAGUAUUUGGGUUGAAAACCCUAAUUAGGGUUUGGGAAAACCCUAAUGCCAAGAAAACCCUAAUUUGGGGAAUUAACCGGGACACGCGGGAAUUAUUUAAUAACUUGAUAUAUUAAAUAAUAAUCAGUGGCAAAGAUUAAUCUAAGCAAUAUUGGACUUAAUGGAUUAAGUGAGAAACACUUAACCCUAAUCGUCAUUUUGUGUGAAACCCUAAUUUCACUUGGGUUUAUUGUUGGGCCUCUCUAUUGGGCUUUGAUGAUUAGGAUAAUAAUGGGUCAUCCAAGAACAAGCAAAUGGGCUAAAAUAAUUUAAUAGGUCUAGGGUAAGGCCCAUGUAAGGGGUUUGGGCCCAAUUUGGAAAAUUGGGCCAUAGAUGGGCCAUAGUUUGGCCUUUAAUGACUAUAUAAUCUUUGGGCCUUAGAAUAGGACCAUGUAAAGGCUUGGGCCUAAUUUGGAAAAUUGGGCCAUAUGUUGAGCUUUGAUUUCUAGUUGACCUUGGGUCUAUGGUUUGGGCUCUGGGCUUGAAUAAAGCCAACCUUGGGGUAAUGUAGUAAUUAUCCAAAGUAUGUAUUUAUGGUUAUGUAGUGGAACCCAAUUAUUAAUUGGGUUAUGUUUGAUGUUGACAGUUCGGGAACCUGUCAACCAGCACUGGAGUUUUAUCUGCGAGACUUCAGCAGUGGGUAAGUCUUCUCACCAUACCCAUGGGUCUAAGGCACCAAGGGCGGCCCAUUAUGUGAUUAUGAUAUACGUGUUAUCCAUUCUGUGUUUUGUUAUGAUAUUUGAUUGUGUGUUUUGCAUGAAGACCCUGGGGGGAGCCCAUGGCAUUGGAUGUAAGACCAUGUGGGGUAGCCCAUCACAGUCCUAGGUAAAGACCAUGUGGGGUAGCCCAUGACAUUGGAUGUAAGACCAUGUGGGGUAGCCCAUGGCAUUAUUACAGGUUUUAUGUAUGCAUGACUUAUGUGAUAUGUGUGUAGCUUUUAUAGCUACCAAGAUAUAUGAUUUGUGUGUAGCUUUUAUAGCUAACAGGAUAUGUGAUAUGUGGAUUGUGUGUAUGGUAUGCUCUGGGAAACUCACUAAGCUUCGUGCUUACGGUUUCCAGUUUUGGUUUCAGAUACUUCAUUUUCAAAGGAAAUGAGCCGACUCGAUCGCAGCGCGUCACACUAUGUUUUCCGUACAGGAUGUCUUUGGGAUUAUAUUUGAUAUUAUUUUAUGAUGACAUGCCUGAUAAUUGACACACUUUUGACAUGAGAUAUUAUUAUGAAUGUUUUGUACUGAUGGUUUUAUGUAAUAACUUAAUUAAAAUGAAAUUUUUGGCCUGUAUUUUUGGGACGUUACACAAAGCCCAAUGGAAAAUCUCCUACAAAGAAAUAGAGAAAUUGAAAGACACGUCAUCCAAAAAUAAGAAAACAUAAUUUUUUUUACCUCUGGCAGUUUCAUGUUUGAUUUCUGUUGGCUCAAAGAUUCGCUUGAUUAAUGUUGGUUGGGGGAAAAGCUUGAAACAUGGUGCUUACCAUUAGGGCUGGCAAUUCUUGACACGACACGUGACACGACCCGCGACACGACACGAAAUAAAUGGGCUUGGGUUGAGUUUUUCAACCCGCCAACUCGCGAACCCGCCAACCCGUUUAUUAAACGGGUCAUAUAUGGGUUUCUUAAAAAAUAAAUGGGUUGACCUGCCAACCCGUUUAUAUUCUUAAUAAAAAAAAUUAUUUUAUUUUUAAAUGUAUUUAUGUAUCAACUAUUAAUAUUUAAUAAGUAUUAUAUAAUAUAUACCACUGAUUCAUAGAUCAUUUGACUGUUUUGACAUUUUGACUCGUAAGUGGAUGGUCUAAGGUCGUAAGUCGUAACCUAUAAGACUAAGUCUGUAGCAUGUUUCUAUAAAUGCUUUUAAUUUUCAUUUGGAUGUUUAAUACUUAAAUGUCUAAAAUUUGGACCCACAAACCCGCCAACCUGUGAACCCGUAUAAAUAAAUGGGUUGGCAGGUCAUAUAUGGAUUUAUGUUCCAAACCCACCAACCCGUGACCCGCCAACCCGUGACCUGUAUAUUUAAAUGGGUCGUGUUUGGGUUGACAUAUUUUGACCCGCCAACCCGCGAACCCGCGACACGCCAACCCGAACACGACACGAUUGCCAGGCCUACUUACCAUAGGAUUAGGGUUCAUAAAUCAGAGAGGAUGAAACAACGAUGUUCCACCUAGUCCUAGGCCUCAGGAUACCGUCAUUUUCCGUUUGGCAGUCCAAUCCAAAGUCAAAAUCAAACAUUACCCUAAAUAAUAAAAAAUUGGGAAACAAUUUAUCUGAUUGAGAUGGUAUAGUGACAAAAUUUGAGGAAUCAAUUAUCUAUUUCUAUCCAUUUGAGGUUGGAUUUGUUUCUAAUGCGUCGUUCCCGACUACUUUCAAUCUUCAACGUGAGAUUUCUAGAGAAUAAGACAGUGGAAACCGAUGGGAAUUAGGAGUUGAUUUAGUGAGAUUACCUUCGUUAUUUAAGCCGAUCUUGCUGAUAGACCGGAAAAUCUAGGAAAUUGGGGAGCACAAUCCUCGCAAAAGAAGUUGCCAAAGGUUGAAUAGUAAACUCAAUUAGAAAUGGGGACCAAGAAAUUCAUGUUGCUCGUUAAAAUCUUGAAAAUAGUCAAAAUAAGAUAACAUUUGUUACCAAACAAUUCAAACAUGAAUUACUAUUGUUUCCAGAAAACAUGGAAUUUUAAAUUUACAUUUAAAUGUUAUAUGAAACCAAAAAAAUAUAAUAAGUUGAAAAAAAAUUGGGAUUACAAUUUAACUUUAAUUUAAUUUAAUGUUUAUAAGAAUUACUCAUAAAAUUACACGUGACAGGUUAGCAUGGUAGAAAAAGGACAUGUGACAGAUUAAAUGUUUUGUUUAUUAGAGAAGAUAGAUUUUAUAAUAUCUUACCUGGUAAAUGAAGAUCAAUUUUGCCAUUUGUCAAUCUCUUAUUAAUUUUGACACUUGUCAUUUUGUAGUAUUUUUAGAAUAAAUAAUAUCCACAUAUCAUUUUAUGGAGUUUUUUCAAAUUUUAAAAUUAAAAAACCAUAUAAUACUUAUAUUUAUAUAUGUAAAGUAUUUAUAUUUAUUGUAAUAAAUGUGACAAUAAAUUACAAUGAAUAUGUUUCUUCCUUUUUAUUAUUUCGAAAUUUUAUUUUUAAAAAUAUUUAAUGUUACAUUUUAAUAUUUAAUAUUUUUUUAAUCAACCCGUGUAAUACACGGGUUUAACACUUAGUGACUUUAUAAAUUGUACUAUUACCAAGUCCCAUUAAUUAAACAUAAUAUUCUAAUUUUGAAUAUAAUUAAUUCAAGUUAAUUAAUAUAUUCUUUUAUGUUUUAAGUUUUUAAAAAACAUAUUCAAACCAUAAAUAAAUUCAAAAUAUAAGCAACAGCAAUAUACCACGUUAUGAAACAAAUAUGGUAAGGUGGGAUAGGAAGGUUGACAAUCCAAAAUAUAAGAUUGAGGACUGUUUUCAUACCACACAAAUUCAAAGUAUAAAAAAUGAAUUAUAUAUGAUUAUAUGAUAUCGAUUUAUUAUAUAACAAAUAUUUAAAGGUAAUAUUGUCGUAUUAAAAGAUAGCUAUAUGGUUAAAUAAACUAAAAAUAUAUAAAUCUAUAACUUAAAAACCAAAAGUGACACAUGAAAGUUUGUACCAUUAUGAUGUAAUAUAGUCUACACUUUAUAGUAUUUCAUGUACACAAAAAUUGUGCGUGCAACACAAAUAAUGUUGGAUUUUAAAAAAAUGGAAAAAUUAUGGAAAAAAAUAGAUUUUUGUUGGAUUGGUAAGCCUAAACUUAUCUCCAACCUAACACAUUUUUUUCAAAAAAUAAUACUACCAUAAAAUUUAUGUCAAUAUGUCUAAAAACAUCUCCAACCCCAACGCAUUUUAAAAUAGUAUUAAUAAUGAUUUAUCCACUUGAUUUGUGACAUUGAAAACCAUCAACUCCUAGAGUUUGUCAUUAAUAUUAGGAGGUUAUAAUGGCUUUUAUGUUUCCUUUUUACUUGCUUAAUAAAAGAAAAAUAUAGCUUAGUUCAAAACAACUAACAAACAUCCUCUGAUUCUACUCCUAAUAAAUUUCUAACCAACUACGAAUAUAUAAUUCUAUUAUGAGAUUUUUUGAUAUGNNNNNNNNNNNNNNNNNNNNNNNNNNNNNNNNNNNNNNNNNNNNAUUAAUUAAAGUAUUAAUUAUAAAAAAUAUUAUAAGAAUUAAAUGAGAUAAAUAUUAAUUAUUUUAUACUUAAUUAAACAUAAUUAAUACUUAUCUCAUUUAAUUAUGAUAAUAUUUUUUCUAAUUAAUUAAUUAAUCUACCCUAAUAAAUCAAAAUCCUUUUUGACAUUUGUCAAAUUGCUAUUCAAUUGGACACUUGUAAUUUUAUGAAAAUUUUAGAGUAAUUAAUAUUCUACAUGUCAUUUUGUUAUGUUUUUCAUUUUCAAUAAAAUGCCACCUCAUUAUAUUAAUUAUUGUGAAGGCUACAUGUAAGUUCCUAAAUUUAAGGGAUUGUACACAACAAUUUUAUAGCUUUGAUUAGGCUCAAAUCAAGCCUAGAUACAAUCCAAAUUCACAACUAUUCCAUUUAUUCAAAAUCUUCCCAUUAUAUGAAUUUAAAUAUAGAAUGCCAUAAUGAUGCAAUUUUUUUCAAUGAUACGAAUCAACACUCAUAAAAUGACACCCUUGAUAUUAGCAAGUAUGUUUCUUCUUCAUCUAGGUUUUUUAUUUGAUUGCUCUCUCCUCUUCCAGCCCUUGUCCGCUUUCCACGUUGUAGGUCUAGAAUCACAGUCUGCAUAAUCAAUUAUGCUAUUCAUUUGUUUGGCAGCCGGAAUAUGGUUCAAUUUAAAGAGGAUUCAUAUGUGGUUAUCACGAGGUUUAAAUUCCAUUGGUUACUCUUUGUAUUCAUUUCUUUGUUUCCAAUUCUUAGUUUGUUUGAAUGGAGCUUGUGGACGUGGGAAGUUCAUGAAGGAGUUUUAGACCUUUUUACCCCUACUUGGUGGCUUCUGAUGUGACGUUUUGCUGGUCAAUCUUCUUGUGUUCCUCCCCACUUGGUUGAUGCUUUCUUUUGGUUAUUUGCUGAUGGGUCGAUGUUUUGUCAUUGCUUUUGGUUUUACUUGAAGUUAUAUAUUGGCUUGGAUACUUCAAUUUAUGUGUGGAAGGAGGGUUUCUGUUGUAUAUUUUUUUGCUCGGCUGUUGUCAUUACCCUCUCAAUUUCUUAAAAAGUAGGCGGCUUUUCCUGUAGGAGGCAUGUUGCUUCUGUAGCUAACUAGCUAUCUAUUGUAAAAAAAAAAUGUUACUUUUAUGUUUUUUAGACCAAUUUACCCCUGGAUGCAUUGGAGUUUUUGUGUAUUAUGUCCAUGGCAUUUUUAUUUUGCCUCUAGAAUCUUUGGGGAGAUUGGUUUUUGUGGUCCCUGGUUGUUUUCGUUAUCUUGACUUUCUUGCCCCUGGUUGGUUCGCUUUUCUCACUGUUGGUGGUUGGCUUAGUGGUGUUGCUAUUGUUUCAGUCUUGGGGGUUGGAGUCCUUUUUUUAGAAAUUUGUAAUCUUUAUACUGGUAUUAUAACCCUAAAGGUCUUAUUAGUUUUUGUUUAGUUCGAUAUUGAAUAACCAAAAGAGAAUGGAUGAAGGGUGAUGUUGUCGAUUAAAGAAUGCUAGGAGGUUCUCCUGAGAUAAAAAAAAAAACUUAUAUGUCGAUCACAUUUUUAUGAUUUUAAUUGUAUUGAUAACCAAAAUUUAUUGUUUGGUAAGUACGGGUAAUAGAUGAUUUCAUGGUUUAGCUCACUUCCUUUAAUGGAUUUUAAUUGUUGGUAUGAUGCCCAAGAACAUACAUGAAUAAAGAAGAAUGAUCUAUAUUUUCAUCGGGCUGCAACUAGUGUAUGUCUUUGACUGUGACAAUCUCUCUAUAAUGUUUAAUAUGUUUUUGACAUUUUUUAAAACCAUUUUGACGUUGAUUUUUUGCUCAAAUGUUUGCUUUUGUGUUUAUUACUACUUAAUUUCAUGACAGUGGUAAAAUGUAGGCUUAAUUAUCACUAUUUAUUUUGGUUCGUAUCUUUAUUGUCAACUAAUGUGUAAGGAUGGUCGAUACAUUCGAUAUUGGUUGUCAAUGGAGCGCAUAUUAAUUUAUGUAAUCAGGUUGCUGCUGCAAUGACAUCAUUCUUUGUUAAAUGCGUUCGUCGAAUAUACAAAUGCCUCAAAAGGGAAUCAUAUAGCAAUGUUUCGUAAUUACCAUGGCACACAAUUCUCAAUCAUUAAUUUGCAUAUUCAAUGAAGGGAUGGGCCCUUACAGUAACAACAAUUUUUAUGGAUUUGUGGCAAAGUAAUCUAUUUGUUCAUCACAUCUUAUGUCUUUUCAAGCAUUUGAUGAAUAUGUAUUAUUAGGAAAUUCUAUUUUUCAACUCUAUACUAAUGCCUUAAAUUAAUUUUUAUUAGCUUAGAAGGAAUUUCAUAAUUUGAUUAAUUUUUAUUAUACAUCUGACUUUUUUUUUUCCUUUUUCCAGUUUUUUGCUAUCAUGAUUUAGUUUAUUUUAUUGUAGGCUGCCAUGUAAAAAUCCACAACAUAUAUUGUUGAUUUGAUAAAAUCAAAAAGGUUGUAUGCUGAGUCUAAGUGGUCCUCUUAUUCUAUCUCAGGUAGUAAAAUGUCUCUUUGUUUACAUUUUCAUUAUAUGAUUUUCUUAACGUAAUUAUUAUAAAUAAAAAAAUUCUUCACUAUAUUUAUAUCAAUAAAGGACAAAUAAAGUAUGAAUAUUGCACCAUUAAAAUCGUGACUUUUUAUAUUAACAUAAAAUUGGUGUUGGAUAUAUAGGUCCAUUGGAGCUCUAUAGAACAUUAUUUUAAUGAUAUGAUGGUUCAUUCACUCCUACCUGAAGGCUGAGAAUAUAAUGUAAUAAUUUAAAUUGCUUUUGCGUUCGUAAAAAAGAUUGACAAAUCAUUUGGAUUUUGAGAUUGGUUGAUAGAAUUUCAAGCGAAAUUGACAUUAAUAAUUUUUAAAUUCAAAUUUAAUUGCAAUAACUACCAUCAUAGAUUACUAGAUAUCUAAAAACGGAUAACAUGAAACUCAAAACGUGAAAUACCAGAACCGAAAAAGGGUGUCUUAGAGUUAAAAACAAACUUUAUUUUCAUUUUAGUUUCUAUUUUAAGCAAAUAUUGAAUCCAAUGGUGUUCUAUCUUUAGUGCAUCUGUAUAUUUUGUGUGUGUUUUCUUAACUAUCUUUAGUAAAAAUUGUUUAUUUCUAUCAUUUGUUUGAUUUUUAUCUAACUAUAUUAUACACUAUCAAUAUCAAUUAACUUUAGCACUUGUGCCUUUAUUUUACUUAUUGACUUUUAGCUGAUGGUAAUAGUUUCAAAGAUAGAUGUGUUCAUAAUCACAAAAAUAAGGAAAUAAAAUGAGUGUNGUGUUAAAUGUGUAUUCGUUUUCCAUUUUAUCGGUAGUUGUGGAUUUUGUAUUUUGACUUAAUGAAUUAAUUUGUUUAAAAGUAGAAGUUUGACCUUUUCAUUACCUUUCUUUUGAUAAAAUAAGGAUUUUUGUCCUUUGUAUAAUUUUUUUAUGUAUUAUUAUAAAAAUAUUGACCGGUCAAUUUUGAUAAAAAUAUCACAGACCAUUUUUUGUACAGUUAAAAGCAAAUGUAUAUUAGUUACCUAUUUAUUUAUCAUUUUGUGUGUAUUUAUUUUGAUAGUUUACUUAAAAAUUCUUUAUGUUACACCUUGAUAUUCAACAUAAUUUUUUCUUAAAUUACUUACUUAUUUAUCAUUUUUUUUAUUUAUCUAAAAGUAUUACUUUAAAAAAUAUAUAAUUUUUACAUCUUAAUAUUAAUUUUUUUAAUCAACCCGUGUAAUACAUGAGUUUUACACCUAGUAUUUUAAUUAAUGCUUAUUAUAUGUGUCCUUAGGACGCAUAAAAAAAACAAAAAUCCUAUUAUAAAAAGCUUAUUUUACAAUUAUUGAGAUUAAAAUGAAUUAAUAAGGAACAACCAAACUGCAUUGGAAAUUUGGCGGUACUUAUCAGGGUUGUGUUUCUUUUCUACUUGGCAUAAUAAUGAUAAAAAUAUAUGUAACAACGUAAAUUUUCAAAACAAAUUUUCAUUUUUAAAACAUACUUUUAUUCACAAGAUAAUAUCAAAACAUAAUGUAUCCCAUGUUAUCAUCACAAAACAUAUCCAAGAAUCUCAAGUGGAUAGAUCUUCAUCAGUGUGUACAUAUCAUGCUGACGCCUUCCCGCAAUCCUUGCUAGUACCUGAAACACACAUCACAUAACACGGUAAGCAUAAAUGCUUAGUGAGUUCCCUAAAAUACCACAUACAACACAUACGCCUUUCCAGGCCAUAACUCUGUGGGACCUUCCGGUCUAAGUGUCUCAGGGGACUUCCGUCCCAAAUCCCGGUAGACCUUCCGGUCCUACCCGUAUCGACCUUCCAGUCCGUAACCUCCUGACCUUCUGGUCCAUGUCAUCUUGACCUUCCGGUCCAAAUCAUCUUGACCUUCCGGUCCUUAUUAUACAUAGCAUACAUAACACAUACAUAUCACAUAUCAGCAUAUAGCACAUACAUCUCAUAGCAUUUAAGACCUUCCGGUCACACAUAGGUACCCUUCCAGGUACAGUAUAGUGAGAAGACUCACCUCAUCUGAUGUCUAGUAACUCACGUGCUUAAUCCCUGAAUCUCGAAACAACGACCUAGCCCCGCCUAAUCACAUAAAGUAAUUGUUUCAAAUCAUUAACGACUCUCAAGGCUAGACUAAUCCCUUCCUAUGUCCUCUCAAAAGGAUAAGAGACCAUUUUACCCCUCAAUGGUCCCAAAAGUCCAACUGUUGACUAAGACCCUAAAAAUCAACGAAAGUCAACAACAAGCAGUACGCGGGGGGUACCAACUCGUGUACGCGGGGCGUACUCCGGUUAACCAGAAUCGGGGGACUCGACCCCUUACGCGGCGCGUACUGGGAUUAUGCCCAGCGUAAGUCCUAGUUUCCCAUUCUCCAAAGUUUUGGUCUGAAUUGAUUAAGACAACGGUCCAAAUCACAGAUCUAGGCACUCUACUGCCUUCUAAACCAUAAAGACGAAACCUUUAGGCCUUUGCAUGGCUAAAAGGUUAUAACUUCUUCCAACCUCUUAUCCCCUUGUCUCAUAAAGACCAUAACUCAUGCAUGACUCCAUAAUGACGACCAAGUUUGGAUUUUUAUGCAUCUACAACACAUCCAAAGCUGAAAUGGGGCAGAUCAAGGCUUAUGGAGACCAUUUACUCAAAAAGUCUCCAUCUUGGGACAAAACCCUAAGGAAUUGGACCAUGAAACACAAAACCAAAAAUGAAGAGGAAAGUUCUGAGCUUUUUACCUCCAAGUGAUGUUUCCCCCUCUGAAAAGCUCAGAUCCAAGGCUUGCACACCAAGACUAUCUUCCACCAAGGUCCUUUCUCCUUCUUCACAAACACACAAAGGAACUUCGAGCUCAAAACACACCCCCACAAGCUUAGAACGAAUGUAGACUCUUUCUUAGGGUUUCAUUCUAUGAAAUGGUGGCUACGAAUAAGGCCAUCACAUUCCUUAUAAAGGGCUCAAGCCACAAUUAGGGUUUUGUAUCUGGGCCGGUUACGCCCGACAUAACCUUGGGUACGCCCAGCGUACCUAGGCGAGUCCGCGGACAACUUAAGCGCAUGAGUACGUGCAGCGUACUCUUCAAUACGCCCAGCGUACUCAUUUUCCAUAACUUUCUUUUAAGGGCUAAACUUGACAACUUGGAAAAGAAGAAGGGUUUAAGAGAUGCACCUGAAUAUCGGGAUGUUACAAUAUAGCCUAGUUAAAUAAUUGUGAGGAUAUUUACUAGUUUCUUUAAACUUAGGGUUUUUUUGUAGACCGUUGCCUCAUUUAGGGACUUUAGAAGUUGUGAGGAUAGAUCUUUGUGUAUUGAAAGAGGAGCAAAUAUCUCCAUAGUUUCCUUUGCAAACCUAUAUUGCUUACAUAAAGGCUUAGACUAAUGGAGCUUUUAUGUGUUAGAUCAUCUUACAUUCUUCAAUUCCCCUGAUCUAACUUUUCCUGAUAGAAUUUCAAAACGCUUGGAGCUUUUAUCUUAUAUCCUUCCAACUUCUUCAUGAACAUAUUCUCAGAUAAGGUCAACCACGAGGUGAAACCAUAGUAAUUUUUAUCAUCCAUCAAUCCAUUGUCCAAACAAUAUUUGUAAACCAAACUUCUUGGAAUAAUCCUUUUCUCCAUACUCAAUGAAACAAGAUGCCUCAAACCCCAUCUUAUUCACGAGAUAAUCCAUCACUUUAUCAAUUUUCUCCUCUGAAUUCAUCAUACACCUUGGAUUAGCCCUAAAGGUUACCAAUGUCUGGUCGGAGAUGAACUUUGUUAAUCUCAAUCGUCUUUUGAGAUGUUUUUAUACUGCUUCAGGGUUGAAGGUGAAUCUCAACAAAAGCAAAGUGUUUGGGAUCGGUGUACAAGAGAUGGAGGUUAGUAGAUUGGCUAACAUUCUUUGUUGUGAGCCCGAUAAAUUCCCUUUUACCUAUCUUGGGCUCCCGAUAGGAGUCAAUAUGAAACUUACCAAGCACUGGAGACCAAUUGUGGAUAAAUUUAAAAAUAAAUUAUCGAAUUGGAAGGCGAAUACUCUCUUGUUUGGGGGAAGACUUACCCUUGUUAAAUCUGUUUUGGGUAGUCUUCCGUUAUUUUAUUUCUCUUUUUUCAAGGCGCCGAAAAAAAUAAUUGACAAUUUGGAAAGUAUUAGAAGAAAGUUUUUAUGGGGGGAAAAAGAAAAUAAAAGGAAGAUAAAUUGGGUAGCAUGGAACACUUUGACUAAACCGAAAAGAAAAGGAGGUCUUGGUAUUGGGAGUCUCCGGUCAUUGAAUUUGGCUCUUUUAAUCAAGUGGUGGUGGCGGUUUAAAUAUGAAGUGAAUAGUCUUUGGACGAAUUGCAUUAAAGCUUGGCAUAAUGUCUCUUGUAUUGAUGGCAAGCCAUUAGCCAAAGCUAGUCUCCCGGGAGUGUGGCUUGUUAUUUCCAAGCUAAAUGAAGAUAUGAAACAUUGGGGAAUUAACUUGGAAGACUUGUUUGUAAGGAGUCUUAGAGUGGGAAAUAGAACCUACUUUUGGAAGGAUAAAUGGUGUGACGGUGUAGUGUUGAAAGAUGUUUUUCCAAAACUUUAUCGCAUUGAAGUGCAGAAAAAUUGCAUGGUCAAUAACAUAAUUCAAAACAGAGGUCUAGAUGGAAUUCAUGGGUAGUGGUCGAGAAAUCUAAGGAGAGGAAGGGAGGCAACAAGUUUAUCAGAUUUAAACAAAAAAGUUGUUGGUGUGGUGUUGACAAGCAUAGAUGAUUCGUAGGUUUGGAAAGGUAACGAGACGGGUGGUUUUACAGUUUAAAAUUUGCGGAAGUUGAUGGCUAAUCUGGAAGAGGUCUCAAACACGUUGCCUUUUCAUUAGGAGGGUUGGGCUCCUCUAAAAGUGAAUUGAUUUUAUUUGGCGUUUAUGUUUAAAUAGGAUCCCAGUUGCCGACAACCUUCUUGUUAGAGUUGUGACUUUGCCAUCGUAUCUUUGCCCGCUUUGUGGUAUUGUGUGGUAUUGGUAUUGUGUGGUAUUGAACCAGAAGAUGUCGAGCAUUUGUUUUUUAAGUGUAUUUUUGCAAAAAAAGGUUUGGAGCUGGUUCUCUAACUGGUCGAUGUUAUUGAAAUCUGCUCCUAUGAAUGUUUCUGACAUGUUGGGGGUGGUAAAGACAUUGGUGUUGAAUAAGAAAAGGAAGAGAUUGCUAUGAGCCCUCCUAUAUUCGGUUUUAUGGAGCAUUUAAAAGACUAGAAACGCUUUAAUUUUCAAAAGUUUCAGGAGCAGCCCAAUGAAGACAGUCGAUGAUAUCCAGUUAAUCUCUUUCAAUUGGUUGAAAUAUAGAGGGAUGUUUAGUUCUUUAAAUUGGUUUGACUGGUGUAAUUCUCCUAUCUCUCUUGUUUGUAUGUUGUAACUUGUCUAGCGUCUCGCUAGUUUCGUUUUAAUGCAAUUCCACUAUUCAAAAAAAAAAUUGAUUUAUGUAGAAUUGGUGUACAAAUAUUAUAAUAAGGUCGGACGGCCUCAUAGCGGGAAAAGGGUGAGGGAAGCGUCCCUCACUCUGGAACACCAUCCCUUGAGUGAGGGAAGCAACCCGCGGGAAAAGGUGGGGGGAGGGGGUGCCGCACUCUCUCUCUUCAUGCUAUUGGACAGUUUUUUUUUUCCUUUUUUUUUGUCUUUUUUAAUAUUUAUAAAAUUAUAUACCUACUAAAAAUAUAACAAAAUUCAUGGUUUUUAAUUCCCUACAAAAUGAGUAUAAUAUAUGUAUGAAUUAUAUUUUAAAAAACAAUAAAAAAAUAGUGAGGGAAGCUUCCCACCCAUUCCUUGGGUUUUAGGUGAGGGAAAGGAAAGUGAGGAAAAUGGGGGUAUGGCCCACAAAAAGUGAGGGAAACAUCCCUCUCAUAUCCUCCCGUCUAAGAGAUACAAAGAGAGUUAGAGAGAGUGAGGUAAUGGUUUUUGAUUAGUUAAUUCUCAUAGUCAUGAUAACAUUUCUUAACAAAACAUCAAAUAACAUGAGAUGGGGGCGGUGUACAAGUCGUUAUAACGCCGCUUUUUGAUUGUCACGUCUAAAAAACACGCAAGCGUGUUGCCCGCUCCUAGCCAUCAUUGUUAUUAUUUAUUAUAUUUAUAUAAUUAAUAUAUGUUAUUGUAAAUAAUAUAUUAAUGGGGACCCCAUUCGGGGUUCCGGAUGGGACUACCCAUCCCCGCCCCCACCCUCGGAAUUAAAACGAAGAUAAACCUUUCCCCCGCCCUCGUCCAGAUUUUUUAAACAAAUAUCCCUCAUAUGGGAUCCGGAUCCCACUGGACUUUUUGACAUCCAUAGUUUUGAUCGUUGUGGUGGUUUACACCAUCUCCAAUUUGAAUGAGAUUUGUUUAAGGUUUGACUUGAAUGCUUGAAUGCGAGUAAGCCGUACAAUCGGUUGGAAUAAAUGAGACUAAUUAAGUUUUAAAAUUGUUCAAAAAAUUAAAAUUUAAGUUUAAUUACAAAAAAUUAUCAAUAAAUUAAGAUUUAUGUAUAUAAAAUAUCAUUUAAGUUACAUCUCAUGGUAAGCAGUUGAUUAGGUUAAUAUUAUCAAUUUAUAUUACCCAAUCGGUAAAAUGUCUUAAAAAGGUAACUAAGUUUCAUAUAUUUUAAAAAAAACACCGUUCACGUUUGGUUAGUAUAAAAAAUGCUAGUGAAGUAAAACCUUUGUACACCUGAUACCAUCACAAUAUAUAUUUUGUUCAAGUCACACCUUAUAGUAACUGGUUGCUUAGUUGGCAUAUUUAAUGCUUAGUUGACAUAUAGGAUGAUUUCCAUCAGUUGAGAAUGUAGAUCAGUCGUCAAGAAGUAAAGCCUAGAGAGCACACUGACACUCAUUGCCAUGUUUGAUCUGAGUACAAUUGCAAAGUUAUAGCUACUCCUAAUGCGAAGAAAAAAAGAAAAAGGAGAACAGUGUUUUAUGGUCGCGUACCCUUUGCACAAUGUUCUCUUCUGACUUUUAAGCCUCAAGCCCCUCCACCACCAUUCCAUACGCUUGAUUUUAUUAGUUUUUUCUAGCUUAAGUUGAGCAUGUAAGUCAAGCUUUUACUUACUUAUUUGUAGAUUAUUCUGAAAUCUCCAUCUCCUCGUCGCACAUGUCAAUCAAGCCUUUGUUAAUGUUAGUCAACUUAAUAGGGUCUGAUCCCUCACGUGAAUCCUUAAAUUUGAGGAGCAUGUUUCAUUAAAAUGAUGGUCUUGAAUGUAUUUCAUUCUUUCUAGAAGGGAAAAAAGAAGUACCCCCGCCUUAUGAUCAGAAAAAAAAAGGUUCACUUAACAAUUAGAUUGUACUCGUAUUGAAUAUGACUAUAAAGGUCAGUGUUCUUUGUAGGCCUUACUUCUAGAUGAAUGACUUAACUAUUGGAAAUCCUUCAUGAGAGUUAUAGGCCUAAUUUAUUUAAUUUGAAGGGGUUAUAUGUUUGAGUAACAUCCUAGAUGUCAAUUAAUAUGUCAAUUAAGCAUUAAACAUGGAUUUAAACGAAAUAUUUAUUGUUGUUAGGCUGGAGGGUGUACUCAUAUUUCACACUUCACUUUACUUUGUCAUCUGAACGUCACCUGGUUUUCUCCUUACUCUUUAAAACCCUAUAAAUUGCCACCCUCACUUCCCAAAGGCAUUAUAUUGUAUAAAUGAAUGAUAAAGCUAGAAAGAAAAGAGAAAAAAAAAAAUAGAACCACACUUGAAAGAAGAUCCGCAUCUUGAAGCACUUCACACUCAUCGCAUUCAUGAUGUGGUGUUCCUACAUACGGUGAAAAUACCACCUCGCCUAUUAUUAAUUUUGAAUUUGGUCCUUUUAAUUUAGUUUAAGUCUUUUAUCUAUUAUUCAUUUUGAAUUUGGUUCAACCCAGAUUGUAAAGACAAGGUCUUGCAUUUCUUUGAAAGGAAAAUAAAGAUUAGUUAAUUAUUGUUAGUAUUUGUUUCAUUAUUUAGGAUUUAUCUCCUAAAUGUGAAUAAAUCCAUAAUCAAUUAGGAGUAGUUUUAUAACUAUUAUACAUAUUGUUAAGAGGUUUUUUUUUUUCCCAUUAUUGAGAUUGAAAUGAAUUAAGGAACAUGGGUUGUUCUUAAUUUUGUUCUUGUUCUUCAUAAAGUAUGACCAUACUUUCUUUAAUCCUCUCGCCAACGUCUGGUAUCGAAGACAUGGGUGCAAUGGUUGGAGGUGGAAGAUUAUGAGGAAUUGUGAAUCAAAGAAGCAUCGGCUAAUGUUACUUAAACACACCAUUUGUUGCUUAUCAAUAAUUGGUAAACCAAAAUAUUGUGUUUAAUCACUAGCUAGGCCAAAGGAAAGUGGGGGAAACUGCUUUGAAGAAGAAGAUAACAUCAGAUUGAGUGAUUACUAAAAAUUGAUAAUUAAUUAUUCUGUUAUGUCCUCAUUCAUGUCAUUGUCUCGACGUUUUUUUGGAUAACCGUGGAUGGAUUUGACACACUUGGCUACAAGGAUUUGACAGAACAUACAAAACCCAUAAGCUAUCCAUUACAUCCAUAAACGAAAAAGGAGCAUACCAAAACAAACAACAUACAUGCAUCUACAUUACAACAAAAAACGACCCAAAGUCACAUAGAAUUUCAUUUGCCAAUGCAACUUUAAGCAGGAGUUAUAAAAAAAAAAAUCAGGGUUAAAAGAAUACAAAAUAAAAAUUUUAAUUUUCUUUUUCCGAAUACACAUAGAAUUUCAUCUUCUAUCCGCAUGAUUCAACUUUUCCAGAUAGAAUUUCAAAACACCUGGAGCUUCUUUCUCAUAUCUUUCCAAUCUCUUGAUGAAUUUUUCCUCCGAACAUUGCAACCACCAACCGAAACUACAACAAUUUUUAUCUUUCAUCAAUCCAUUGUCCAAACAAUAUUUGUAAACCAAACAUCUUGGAAUAAUCCUCUUCUCCAAACUCAUUGAAAUGAUACCAGGAUUCUUUACAAUAACAGUUGUCUCAAACCCCAUCUUAUUAACAAGAUAAUCCAUCACUUUAUCAAUUUUCUCCUUGGAUGCUUUCAUACACCAUGGAUUAAUCCUAAAGGCUAAUAAGAUCUCGGUUUUAGACAAACCCCAAUUCUCAUAAGUCUCCAUCUUCUUCUCCCAAGUGGACUUGCUCAUUGACCUAACUGCAUGAACAGCUACCAUAAAACUUGAGAUCAAAGGAUCAAACCCCAUCUCCACAACAUCAUCCACAGCCUUUUUGAACUGGUCUGUAGUAACUAAAAAAUCUCUAGGAUAAUAAGUUAAUAGAUUCAACAUCUGCAAUCUGGGCACACCAACAUCGCACAGUAUUUGCAUGUUUGGAAUCACAUCUGCUUUGAAAUUCGAAUUCCAGAUCAGGGCACACCUCCUGAUUGCAAUCAGUAAUCUAUCGUUGGACUGAAACAAAUUUCUAAGGAAACUAACGGUAGGUUCUACAUGAUGCUUCAAGCUUCUACUUAGGAAGCUGGGUCUUGCAGUAAAUAACUUAAUAAUAUCAGAAUCCGAAAGUCCUAUAGAAUUUAAAAACUCAAAUUUGGGCAAAAGGUUUUUCUCGGGAUGACAUGCGAGGGCCAGGGGGAACUUUCCAACCAUGUAAGAAAUCUGCGUUUCUGUGAACCCCUGAUCCUUGAAAAAUGCUAUCACGGAGUCUGCUCGAUCUGGCGUUUUGAACUUCAAAUAUUUGGAAGCUGAAAUCGCCUUGUCUGGAGGGAAUCCGCAUAAGUCUACGAGGUAAGAAACUGCGAAUGAGUUAUCUGAUGCUGCUGCUGGUGACGAAGAUGACAACCGAGGAAACAGUCUAUGAAACGAUGUUGUUUUGGUCCUUUUGGACACACAAAAUGUCAAGUUUCUGCCGAUGAGAUUGAACAUUGUGAGUAGAAAUCGUAAUGGUGGAGGAAUCACUGACCUGCUGAUUUAGGGCACGGCAUGUAUGCGAUUAAAGCUUAGGAUUUUGGUUUUUCACUUUAAUCGGCUGAGAAAAUUGCACGGAUGGUCCCUGUGGUUACGGGUUCCUUCCACACGGCUUGGUUUCUAGAAAGAUUUUUUAACUCAAGGCCGUCAACUUUAAUUUGUUACCCUUCCAAUCCCUCUGUUAACUUCUCCGAUUGUUUAGCUGUUAGCAUCACAC
rnacentral:lncRNA from 1 species